CUCACCUGAGAGCCAGCCAUCCAUGUGUUCAUCCAGCUGUGCAUUGGAAAUUUUGUUCUGAAGGCUCCUAUGAAAGUCAAAAAGCUUUACUGAAAUCCAAAAGGAUUAUAUUAACUGGCUUCCCUUGAUCAUAUAGGAAUCAACUAGUACUCAGCUUGCCUGUCUACUUCAUUCUAUUUCUACAAGAGAACCUUUGAGAAACAUAAAGAGCUCUGGACUCAGCACAAGUUCCUGUCUGCAAACCUUCAGGCUGCAGCAAACUAAAGCCAAAUGCUUGUCUCUAAGUGUAGCCCUAGAGCCAAAAAGAAUGCACAGCUCAUGUAAUACCGUAAGUGCUAUCUCCAGUCAGGAAGUUCCUCCUGUGAUAUUUAAGUGCCAAAAAAAGAU